rnacentral:rRNA from 1 species
UACCAGCACCCCGAGUGGUCGGGACGAUUAUUGGGCCUAAAGCAUCCGUAGCCGGUUCUGCAAGUCCUCCGUUAAAUCCAACUGCUUAACAGAUGGGCCGCGGAAGGAUACUACAGAGCUAGGAGGCAGGAGAGGCAAGCGGUACUCAGUGGGUAGGGGUAAAAUCCGUUGAUCCAUUGAAGACCACCAGUGGCGAAGGCGGCUUGCCAGAAUGCGCUCGACGGUGAGGGAUGAAAGCUGGGGGAGCAACCGG